rfam:Burkholderia xenovorans LB400 chromosome 1, complete sequence.
CCUUGUGCCUGAAAGGGCGACGUCGAGAGGCGGAGCGAGAAGUCAGCCGAGGUCGUAGUAGUCAGGGGCUGGGCCGGUGAGGCUGAAACCGCUGGCGAAGGAC